AGAGUUUGAUCCUGGCUCAGGAUGAACGCUAGCGAUAGGCUUAACACAUGCAAGUCGAGGGGCAGCAUGGUCUUAGCUUGCUAAGACUGAUGGCGACCGGCGCACGGGUGCGUAACGCGUAUGCAACUUGCCUCACAGAGGGGGAUAACCCGUCGAAAGACGGACUAAUACCGCGUACACUUAUUGGAGGGCAUCCUUUAGUAAGGAAAUGAAAUUCGCUGUGAGAUAGGCAUGCGUCCCAUUAGCUAGUUGGUGAGGUAACGGCUCACCAAGGCAACGAUGGGUAGGGGAACUGAGAGGUUGAACCCCCACACUGGUACUGAGACACGGACCAGACUCCUACGGGAGGCAGCAGUGAGGAAUAUUGGUCAAUGGGCGAGAGCCUGAACCAGCCAAGUCGCGUGAAGGAUGACUGUCUUAUGGAUUGUAAACUUCUUUUGUAGGGGAAUAAAGACCAGUACGUGUACUGGAGUGAAUGUACCCUACGAAUAAGCAUCGGCUAACUCCGUGCCAGCAGCCGCGGUAAUACGGAGGAUGCGAGCGUUAUCCGGAUUUAUCGGGUUUAAAGGGUGCGUAGGCGGCCUGUUAAGUCAGCGGUGAAAUCUAGGAGCUUAACUCCUAAAUUGCCAUUGAUACUGGCGGGCUUGAGUGUAGAUGAGGUAGGCGGAAUGCGUGGUGUAGCGGUGGAAUGCAUAGAUAUCACNCAGAACUCCGAUUGCGAAGGCAGCUUACUAAGGUACAACUGACGCUGAAGCACGAAAAGCGUGGGUAUCAAACAGGAUUAGAUACCCUGGUAGUCCACGCAGUAAACGAUGAUAACUGGGGCGUAUGCGAUAUACAGUAUGCUCCUAAGCGAAAGCGUUAAGUUAUCCACCUGGGGAGUACGCCGGCAACGGUGAAACUCAUAGGAAUUGACGGGGGCCCGCACAAGCGGAGGAACAUGUGGUUUAAUUCGAUGAUA
rnacentral:rRNA from 1 species